UACAGGGGGUGCAAACGUUGCUCGGAAUCAUUGGGCGUAAAGCGCACGUAGGCGGUCUGUUAUGUCGGAUGUGAAAGCCCUUGGCUCAACUGAGGAAGUGCACCCGAAACUGAGUGGCUAGAGUACGAAAGAGGGUCGCGGAAUUCCCGGUGUAGAGGUGAAAUUCGUAGAUAUCGGGAGGAACACCGGUGGCGAAGGCGGCGACCUGGGUCGAUACUGACGCUGAUGCGCGAAAGCGUGGGGAGCAAACAGG
rnacentral:rRNA from 1 species